GUUUGCCUCUGGGGAGGCUGCAGGACCUGCGAGGAGCUGGGCUGGGGGACAGAGCCCUGGCAAAGGCUGUGCCUCGCUGGGGAACUGAGGGGACUGGCCCAGGGGAUGGGGCUGGCAGGGGUGCUCAAGAGGAGAUGGAGCUGCUGCGUGUCCAGGACCUCCCCAAAGCCAGGCUGUUGGUGCUCAAUUUCUGCUGGAGUUGGUGACCACCCAGCAGGGCUCAGGCUGGUCCUGUUUUUCCCAGAUGUGAACUGGCACUGCUGAGACUGCCAUGAACCAGAGGGAGGAAAAUUGAGGCAGCUUCCACUGCCUUCAGGCCACAGCCCUUGCCCAUGAACUCAUCCCUCUCUCCCCUCUCACGGCACGACCGGGCGCAGAAAGCAUCCUACGAGCACGACCACAGCUCCACCUUGACCACGAAAACACCACGAGCAGCCAAAGGAAGCAGAUGUCUAGCAGCUCCAUGCAACCCAGAGACAACCCAAAUCUAAUCCACUCCUCUAGCCUACG